AUGGCCAUGGAAGAAUUGGAGGCCUCCAUGUUCCCCUCGACAGCAACAUUGUUCCGUUCAAGAAACAUCAUAGAGGGAGGGAAUCCUAGAACACCAGCACUGUGCCUUGCGGGGAGGGAGGGGGAAGGCCUGCCCUAUCUUCAUCGCUACCUGUCAAAGUCAUCUGCUCCAAACGCCCAGCUGGUCAUUCUUCUCCCACUGAAAACAAAGUCACCACUGGGUCCGGAGAAACAGAAGCACUGGAAUAAGGGCAGGGCUUCCUAUCCUCACCCGCCCUAG
rnacentral:rRNA from 1 species